AGCGAACGCUGGCGGCAGGCUUAACACAUGCAAGUCGAGCGGGCGUAGCAAUACGUCAGCGGCAGACGGGUGAGUAACGCGUGGGAACGUACCUUUUGGUUCGGAACAACACAGGGAAACUUGUGCUAAUACCGGAUAAGCCCUUACGGGGAAAGAUUUAUCGCCGAAAGAUCGGCCCGCGUCUGAUUAGCUAGUUGGUGAGGUAAUGGCUCACCAAGGCGACGAUCAGUAGCUGGUCUGAGAGGAUGAUCAGCCACAUUGGGACUGAGACACGGCCCAAACUCCUACGGGAGGCAGCAGUGGGGAAUAUUGGACAAUGGGGGCAACCCUGAUCCAGCCAUGCCGCGUGAGUGAUGAAGGCCCUAGGGUUGUAAAGCUCUUUUGUGCGGGAAGAUAAUGA
rnacentral:rRNA from 1 species